UAUAUUGGACUACAAAAGUUUUAAUCCUGAAACCCAAUUCAAACCCCAAUUUCUUGUAUUUCUUGCACUUUCAAUUGGCAUCAGAGCCCCAGUUCUAAGUUUUUACUACUUUGUAUCAAACACUUAAUUAUGUCAGAUAAAUAUUUACUCUUUUUGAAAUAUAUUAUGGCACAAGCAAACAAUGAUAAAAUUCGUUAUUAUGCUAAACCUCCAAUCUUUGAUGGAGAAAAGUUUGACUAUUGGAAAGAUUGAAUCGAAAGUUUAUUUAUAGGUUGUGAUAUUGACCUAUGGGAUAUGGUGUUAGACAGUUACACACAUCUUAUAGAUGUAAAUAACAUUAAGCUUGAAAGAAGCAAAAUGGAUGGUCAGUAAAAGAAGGAUCACAAGAAAUAUCGUAGAUCCUGAAAUGGGAAAUGGGACCACCAAAACAAUCGUUUCCUCACACUUAACCCUAAUUUAUCCUUAAUUUCAACAGAUUCCAAACCUAAAACCCUAUCCUAAUUAAAUAACUUCAAGAACCCUAAAUGCUAAAAACGUGAAUUAAACAAUGCUCAGGAGCCAAACGAAGAUCAAACCAUGGGGAUUUGGCUCCCCGGGAGAGGCACUGCAUUGUGAUGUUCUUAUAUUGGAGAAAAAAGAGUGGAAAAGAAUUACCUACCGGAGCAACUCCGGUGGUUUUUUGCCGGCGAAAUAAAAGUUCAGGUGGAAAGAAACAUUAAUGAAAAGCCAAUGGAAUGCACUAUGUAAUAAAAAUUCAACUACUGAGCCAUUUAAGAUCUAACAACCAUGGCAUGUAAUUGUGAUGUAGUAGGACUGUUCAAUUGUAGUGAAAAUCUUUUGUACUCAACAUUUCUUAUCAAUUCAAAAUAUGGUGAGUGCAAGACUUGUUUGGGCUUGAGA